CCUGCUUCCAACCAAGGCUUAUUGAGGGAAAGGAGGGUGAAAAUGGCAGCAGAGAAAAAGGAUCCUAGGCUUACCUCUUCCCAAAGGUACAACUAGAAACAAGGACAUCAGUGAUACUGCAUCACCUCCCACUUGGCUCCUACCCUCCUCCCAAUAUGGCUUCCCAAGCUGAUCCACAACAGAUUUGUUGCCUGUAAGUGAACAUUUACAAACUAUAAUUCUUCACUCAGUCAAUGAAAUGUUUUCCAUUAUCUGGGCUGUGGGGAUAUAAAGUACUGUUACUAGACUGUGACCUACAGACAGGCACUGAUCCACCAACCAUGGGAUUCUGGCUUUCAGUGAAAUGAAGCAACAACAGGAACCCAUAAGAAUGUACAUGAUCUUCCACAUUCUUUCUUCCCCACCCAUAGUUUGGGCACAGAGGAUCCAGUAGAAGACCCCAAAUCCCUGAUGGACAAUGGAACUAGAAUGCUAGCAGUCUGGGUCCUGGUAUCACUACUUAG